rnacentral:lncRNA from 1 species
GGGUGUUUGAAUCCUCAUUUCACUUCAUCCUCCAGCAGGCAGUGGAACUCUGCGUGGUGAGCCCUUGCUCGGCCACAGAGUACUGCCACCAGGAGGUCACCAAGCAGGAGGGAGACACGGGAGCGAGGGUGACAGACAGGGCGACGAUUGGCUCCUCAGUGCCCCCCGCCACAGAAUGCACACCUCCUGCACUCUCCACGGUCCGAGCGAGUCCCGCAGCCACGCCUGGUGCACAGAGCCAGGAACACGGUUCUCCCAGCGCUUGAGUACUGGACACUCGGUUUUAUCCGGAUUGCAGGGUGUGAAUACGGGACUAAAUAAUCUCCUGUGUAUUUUCCAUUCUGCUCCACAUUUCCAGUCCUCAGAAGUCAGAUGUAAAUCGAAAUCAAGAGAUUUCCUGCGAUCACCCCGGUGCUCUGUAUCCUCUCUGCCUCCCGACUGGAGUCCCGUUUCCUUCAGGAGCAGCAGCCCCUUGCGCGGGAGCCGGCAGAGUUUCCCACACUACAUGCAGUGCUGCUGCUGCUGCUGCUGCUCUCCGCAGGGACAGGGCCUCAUCGGACCCUAUAGCGCCUCCAUCCGGAGAAACCCUUCCACGGUCCUCCAUCCACUGCGAGUGCAAGCAGGGCUCACUGCCACUUUAAAUGAUGCUUAAUGUGCUCCUCAGAAGAAUUCAAAGAGGCAGCACUGUUUUCUGUCUAAAAACCAAGGAAACAGAAGUUUAGAAAGAUGGAUAGAUUUGCCCUAAGCCGUACAACCAAUAAGUAUUAGAGCCAAAAUUUUAAUUAAAGUCUGUUUGAUCCCAGGUGCCUACUUCUAGUAUGUAAUUAGCACCUUAAUUAUUCCCAGACUAGGGCACAGAGAGGGAUAUUUCUAAUAUGUCUGUAUUUAUAGUACUAAUAAUCUUACCAAGUCAAUUUCCCUGAAAAAAAAAAUGGUGCAAAGUCACAUUUGUGUAGAAGAAACAUAACAUGGUGUCAUUUUGAUUUAUUCUGACUUCGUGUGAUUGUUUUAAAGGGAAAACAAUGGCUAGCAGCAGUCUUGAAGUGUCUUCACAGACCUCACCUACAGCUAUCAUUUCACAACUUGCGUUUGAUAUCAGAAUCUAUGGAUUUCACAUACUGAGUCACCCACAGAUGCUCAGAGGAUGAGGGUUACUGAGAGUUUCAAAGGACUUUCUAACUGGGGCCCCUCUUGCUGAGGCUGUCCAUGGCUAAACUGUUCCCCAACUUGAGCUCUGUGGGCAUCGUAUGCAGGGCUGUAUGUCACUCACUCAUCAACAGACAGUUACUGAAUGGCUUAAAGAGGCCAGACAGUAACAUGGAAUAGGACCAUGAAGCUUCUGAGUCUGUAAAGGAAGGGAGUGAGCAGAAAGGAAGGGCAAAAUGUCUUCCCGUGUGACACGG